rnacentral:miRNA from 1 species
AAAUGCAGAUUCCUGGGCGACACCUGCCAGAGAACCAAUUCCAGGCUAGAGCCCAGGAAUCUGCAUUUUUAAAACGUGCCAUUGGUGAUCCGUGGGUCAUUG